UACAGGGGGGGCAAGCGUUGUUCGGAAUUACUGGGCGUAAAGGGCUCGUAGGCGGCCAACUAGGUCCGACGUGAAAUCCCAAAGCUUAACUUUGGAACUGCGUCGGAUACUGGAUGGCUUGAAUUCGGGAGAGGGAUGCAGAAUUCCAGGUGUAGCGGUGAAAUGCGUAGAUAUCUGGAGGAAUACCGGUGGCGAAGGCGGCAUCCUGGACCGACAUUGACGCUGAACGGCGAAAGCUAGGGGAGCAAACGGG
rnacentral:rRNA from 1 species